GAUGAACGCUGGCGGCGUGCCUAAUACAUGCAAGUAGAACGCUGAAGCUUGGUGCUUGCCCCGAGCGGAUGAGUUGCGAACGGGUGAGUAACGCGUAGGUAACCUGCCUCUUAGCGGGGGAUAACUAUUGGAAACGAUAGCUAAUACCGCAUAAAAGUCGAUAUCGCAUGAUAUUGAUUUGAAAGGUGCAAAUGCAUCACUAAGAGAUGGACCUGCGUUGUAUUAGCUAGUUGGUGAGGUAACGGCUCACCAAGGCGACGAUACAUAGCCGACCUGAGAGGGUGAUCGGCCACACUGGGACUGAGACACGGCCCAGACUCCUACGGGAGGCAGCAGUAGGGAAUCUUCGGCAAUGGGGGCAACGCUGACCGAGCAACGCCGCGUGAGUGAAGAAGGUUUUCGGAUCGUAAAGCUCUGUUGUAAGAGAAGAACGAGUGUGAGAGUGGAAAGUUCACACUGUGACGGUAACUGACCAGAAAGGGACGGCUAACUACGUG
rnacentral:rRNA from 1 species